GGGGAGUUUGGUUGCAGAACUGAAACUUAUAGGACUUGAUGGAAGGGCACCACCAGGAAGUAGAGCCUGGGGCUCAAUCUGACUAAACACGGAAAACAUCACCUGGCUGGGCCCAGACAGGACUGAUAAACUGACAGUCUUUCUUGAUUCCAUGGGUGUUGGUGUGUGGCCAUUCUUACUUGGUGGAGGGAUUUGUCUGGUAAAUUCCAGUAUUGAAUGAGACUCUGGCAUGCUAACUAGUUACAUGACCCCCAACUCUGCAUUUUCAAACUCCUGAGAGGGACAAAUGGUGUUCAGCUAUCCGAGAUUUAGCAACAGCAGGUUGGUGAUGCCCUUAGAUGUCUGGGACUGCACAUGUGCUACAGUGACUGGUCCCGCAUGCGCCUCCCCUCUGCUGGCAGAUGUGGUAACCUGCCGAACCCUGUUGGGGAUGGGGAUUGGGGAUUGCAAUUUUUCCCCUUGAGUGAGGAAUUCCCAAUAAAUGUGGGUCAUAAGCUAGCAUUAAGUCCCUGCCAUUUGUACA
rnacentral:ncRNA from 1 species